rnacentral:rRNA from 1 species
AGUCGAACGAUGAACCACUUCGGUGGGGAUUAGUGGCGAACGGGUGAGUAACACGUGGGCAAUCUGCCCUGCACUCUGGGACAAGCCCUGGAAACGGGGUCUAAUACCGGAUACUGACCCGCUUGGGCAUCCAAGCGGGUCGAAAGCUCCGGCGGUGCAGGAUGAGCCCGCGGCCUAUCAGCUUGUUGGUGAGGUAAUGGCUCACCAAGGCGACGACGGGUAGCCGGCCUGAGAGGGCGACCGGCCACACUGGGACUGAGACACGGCCCAGACUCCUACGGGAGGCAGCAGUGGGGAAUAUUGCACAAUGGGCGAAAGCCUGAUGCAGCGACGCCGCGUGAGGGAUGACGGCCUUCGGGUUGUAAACCUCUUUCAGCAGGGAAGAAGCGAAAGUGACGGUACCUGCAGAAGAAGCGCCGGCUAACUACGUGCCAGCAGC